CCCUUAGAUGUUCUGGGCCGCACGCGCGCUACACUGUUCGACGCAGCGAGUCUUAACCUUGACCGAAAGGUUUGGGUAAUCUUCAGCAAAGUCGAACGUGAUGGGGAUCGUUCAUUGCAAUUAUUGAUCGUGAACGAGGAAUUCCUAGUAAGUGCAAGUCAUCAGCUUGCGCUGAUUACGUCCCUGCCCUUUGUACACACCGCCCGUCGCUACUACCGAUUGAAUGGUUUAGUGAGAUCUCUGGAUUGACGCUGGCUAGGGGGCGACCCUUGGCCAGACUGUUGAGAAACUGCUCAAACUUGAUCAUUUAGAGGAAGUAAAAGUCGUAACA
rnacentral:rRNA from 1 species